CUUAGUGAGGCUUUCGGACUGGCUCAGGGUGCGCGGCAACGCCUGCCCAGAGCCGGAAAGUUGUUCAAACUUGGUCAUUUAGAGGAAGUAAAAGUCGUAACAAGGUUUCCGUAGGUGAACCUGCGGAAGGAUCAUUACAAGUGAGGCUACCGAACGUUGGAAACAGCGGUUAGGAGCUUACACCCACCCGUGUUUACAUACUAUUGUUGCUUUGGCGGGCCGUGGCCUCCACUGCGGGCUCUGCUCGUGUGUGCCCGCCAGAGGACCAAACUCUGAAUGUUAGUGAUGUCUGAGUACUAUCUAAUAGUUAAAACUUUCAACAACGGAUCUCUUGGUUCUGGCAUCGAUGAAGAACGCAGCGAAAUGCGAUAAGUAAUGUGAAUUGCAGAAUUCAGUGAAUCAUCGAAUCUUUGAACGCACAUUGCGCCCUGUGGUAUUCCGCAGGGCAUGCCUGUUCGAGCGUCAUUUAACCACUCACGCCUAGCGUGGUAUUGGGGCACGCGGUCUCGCGGCCCUCAAAAUUAGUGGCGGCGCCGGUGGGCUCUAAGCGUAGUACAUACUCCCGCUAUAGAGUUCCCCCGGUGGCUCGCCAGAACCCCCAAUUUUUUACAGGUUGACCUCGGAUCAGGUAGGGAUACCCGCUGAACUUAAGCAUAUCAAUAAGCGGAGGAAAAGAAACCAACAGGGAUUACCUCAGUAACGGCGAGUGAAGCGGUAACAGCUCAAAUUUGAAAGCUGCCAACAGGCCGCGUUGUAAUUUGUAGAAGCUGCUUUGGGUGUCGGCCCGGUCUAAGUUCCUUGGAACAGGACGUCAUAGAGGGUGAGAAUCCCGUAUGUGAUCGGUGCCGUUGCCCGUGUAAAGCGCUUUC
rnacentral:rRNA from 1 species